GAUGAACGCUGGCGGCGUGCCUAAUACAUGCAAGCCGAGCGGAUGGAUUAAGAGCUUGCUCUUAUGAAGUUAGCGGCGGACGGGUGAGUAACACGUGGGUAACCUGCCCAUAAGACUGGGAUAACUCCGGGAAACCGGGGCUAAUACCGGAUAACAUUUUGAACCGCAUGGUUCGAAAUUGACAGGCGGCUUCGGCUGUCACUUAUGGAUGGACCCGCGUCGCAUUAGCUAGUUGGUGAGGUAACGACUCACCAAGGCAACGAUGCGUAGCCGACCUGAGAGGGUGAUCGGCCACACUGGGACUGAGACACGGCCCAGACUCCUACGGGAGGCAGCAGUAGGGAAUCUUCCGCAAUGGACGAAAGUCUGACGGAGCAACGCCGCGUGAGUGAUGAAGGCUUUCGGGUCGUAAAACUCUGUUGUUAGGGAAGAACAAGUGCUAGUUGAAUAAGCUGGCACCUUGACGGUACCUAACCAGAAAGCCACGGCUAACUACGUGCCAGCAGCCGCCGUAA
rnacentral:rRNA from 1 species